rnacentral:rRNA from 1 species
UACGUAGGGUGCAAGCGUUGUCCGGAAUUAUUGGGCGUAAAGAGCUCGUAGGCGGUCUGUCACGUCGGCUGUGAAAUCCCGAGGCUCAACCUCGGGUCUGCAGUCGAUACGGGCAAACUAGAGUAUUGCAGGGGAGACUGGAAUUCCUGGUGUAGCGGUGAAAUGCGCAGAUAUCAGGAGGAACACCGGUGGCGAAGGCGGGUAUCUGGGCAAUAACUGACGCUGAGGAGCGAAAGCGUGGGGAGCGAACAGG